ACAACUUCAAGCAAUUGUGGUCCAUUUAACGGAUUUAUUAACAACUCCUUUAUCGUAUAAACACCAGAUUCACCUCCAGUUCCUCUACAACUAAGAAACAAUGUUUAAAACGAUUGACAAUGCCAUCACGACUUAAAACUUGUAACACCAUCCAGAGAGGAUACAACUACUGGUAAUGAAGGUAUUCCUAACCAAAUGCCAAGUGGUAAUGUAAUACUAUCUGCAAUUUUUGAAGACUUAAAAUAAAAAUAAAUUAAUUAGUUUUAAAAAUCAGAAUUAAAAAAAUAUAUAACGUUUAUA